rnacentral:rRNA from 1 species
UGAGGAAUAUUGCACAAUGGAGGAAACUCUGAUGCAGCAACGCCGCGUGGAGGAUGACGCAUUUCGGUGUGUAAACUCCUUUUAUUAGGGAAGAUAAUGACGGUACCUAAUGAAUAAGCACCGGCUAACUCCGUGCCAGCAGCCGCGGUAAUACGGAGGGUGCAAGCGUUACUCGGAAUCACUGGGCGUAAAGGGUGCGUAGGCUGGCUUCUAAGUCAGAUGUGAAAUCCAAUGGCUUAACCAUUGAACUGCAUUUGAAACUGGGAGCCUAGAGUUCAGAAGGGGCAGAUGGAAUUAGUGGUGUAGGGGUAAAAUCCGUAGAUAUCACUAGGAAUAUCAAAAGCGAAGGCGAUCUGCUGGGAUGAUACUGACGCUGAGGCACGAAAGCGUGGGGAACAAACA